rnacentral:tRNA from 1 species
UCCCCGGUGGCUCAGAUGGUAAAGAAUCUGCCUGCAAUGCGGGAGACCCAGGUUCAAUCCCUGGGUUGGGAA